ACGUGGGUGAUCUGCCCUGCACUUUGGGAUAAGCCUGGGAAACUGGGUCUAAUACCGGAUAGGACUACGCGAUGCAUGGCGUGUGGUGGAAAGCUUUUGCGGUGUGGGAUGGGCCCGCGGCCUAUCAGCUUGUUGGUGGGGUGAUGGCCUACCAAGGCGACGACGGGUAGCCGGCCUGAGAGGGUGUCCGGCCACACUGGGACUGAGAUACGGCCCAGACUCCUACGGGAGGCAGCAGUGGGGAAUAUUGCACAAUGGGCGCAAGCCUGAUGCAGCGACGCCGCGUGAGGGAUGACGGCCUUCGGGUUGUAAACCUCUUUCACUAGGGACGAAGCGCAAGUGACGGUACCUAUAGAAGAAGCACCGGCCAACUACGUGCCAGCAGCCGCGGUAAUACGUAGGGUGCGAGCGUUGUCCGGAAUUACUGGGCGUAAAGAGCUCGUAGGUGGUUUGUC
rnacentral:rRNA from 1 species